rnacentral:rRNA from 1 species
GUAGGUGGCAAGCGUUGUCCGGAAUUAUUGGGCGUAAAGCGCGCGCAGGCGGGUCCUUUAAGUCUGAUGUGAAAGCCCACGGGCUCAACCGUGGAGGGUCAUUGGAAACUGGGGGACUUGAGUACAGAAGAGGAAAGCGGAAUUCCAAGUGUAGCGGCGAAAUGCGUAGAGAUUUGGAGGAACACCAGUGGCGAAGGCGGCUUUCUGGUCUGUAACUGACGCUGAGGCGCGAAAGCGUGGGGAGCAAACAGGAUUAGAUACCCUGGUAGUCCACGCCGUAAACGAUGAGUGCUAAGUGUUAGGGGUUUCCGCCCCUUAGUGCUGCAGCUAACGCAUUAAGCACUCCGCCUGGGGAGUACGGCCGCAAAGGCUG